rnacentral:lncRNA from 1 species
CGUGCCAAGUAUUGGGAAUGCCUGUUCCAUCUUCCCGCUUUAACUUGUACGUGCCUGGUCGGAGUUCUUCCUCCACCACAUAUGGUUCUUCCCAAUUUGCGCCUAGUUUGCCUUUAGAGCAGUCUUUUCUGCCGACACUCGCUCUUCUCCAUACUAGGCUUCCUUUUCUUAUCGCUUUACCCUUGACAUUCUUGUCGUGAUAUCUAGCGAUACUUUGUUUGUAAGCUGCAUUCUUUGCCUGUGCAUUAUCCCUAAGCUCAUCCACUAAGUCCAGAGUUAUCGCACAUGAUCUCAUGCUUUCUUCCAUGUCAUAGGUUAACACUCUGACUGUUGGA